ACGGAGGGUGCAAGCGUUAAUCGGAAUUACUGGGCGUAAAGCGCACGCAGGCGGUUUGUUAAGUCAGAUGUGAAAUCCCCGGGCUCAACCUGGGAACUGCAUCUGAUACUGGCAAGCUUGAGUCUCGUAGAGGGGGGUAGAAUUCCAGGUGGAGCGGCGCAAGGCGUAGGGAUGAGGAGGAGGGCCGGUGGCGAAGGCAGCCCCCAGGACGAAAACUGACGCUCCGGGGCGAAAGCGUCGGCAACAAACAU
rnacentral:rRNA from 1 species